ACUCUGAGCAGCUGGGUAAGAGUCGAGAGGAAGCAGCUCUGUCCCACCAUGCAGUGCGUCAGUUCCAGGAGGAGGGCGCAUGGGGUGAGCUCAGGGCAGAAGGCUUUUGUUCCAAAGCCCCUCUGACCUGAACGCACACACUCACAGCGUGCCCUGUAUCUGGCUCAGAAGCCGUCGCUCCGAAGAAGAUGACUGUCCCCUGUGAGGAACUGUCGUGGGAAUGAGGCGAUAGGACUGGUUGAAGGAAAUGCUAAGAAGCUCUCUCCUUUGUGGACUGAGGGACCAGCUUCAACACCAGAGGGGUGCAAUCCCAGCAGAAAAGGAACACUGUCUCUAAUGUUGCAACAAAGUAACCAGCAUGAAGUUAGCAAGAAGAAAUCACGGUUGCAGCUGCUGAACACUGAUCCCUACCUGCUUUAAACUUAGAUCCAGAACGGAGCCGGCACAGUGACUUACGUCACUCCCACUGGCUUAAGAGAACAGAGAAUGACAUAUAGACAAGAUGCUACCUCCCAUGGAAAGGCCCCUAUACAUAAAGUCACUUUAUUUCUCUGUCACUUCCCUGAAAAUAAUUUAUGUAAUUAUGCUGUUAAUGAAGUCUAACAACUCAAGGUUUGUUUAUUGACUAUUACUUAAUGCUACCAAAGCAUGUGUGAAUACCCUCCCACAAGAUGGCACCUGUUGAUUCUCCUUCAUAGUAAAGAUAAGAGAUUCCAACCACUCCCUCUCCUAUGCCCACUCCCAGAUAUGUGUAAUUUCUUCCCACUCCUUCCAGUCUCAGAAGGGGUAAGAUGAACUGAGAAGGGACCCUAUUUGUACAAAUAGGUUUCAGGAUGUUGUCAUAUGUGCUUCCUGGGACUCUGUGGUAAUAAGAGCUGUUUUAAGGUCACUCAUGCAUAAACCCCCAUCCACGAUUUGAUAAAUAAACCCACCGUCCAACCAAUCAAAAAUGCUAAAGUAGGGAGAAAUUGUUCUUCCUUUUUGUUGAUGCCAGUGCCCUAGCCAAGGUGAAUAGACGUUUGUUCAAGCUGUUGCUGUAAAAGAUACUGUGAUGUUCAUUUGUAAAUAUCAUCAGAGUUACUCCUACAGGUCGACUCUCUGUGUAAGACACUAAAAAUGGAUAAUACUCAUCAAGUUUCUCAUGUGUCCAUUAACACAUUGUCUUCUAGAAUCAAUCCUCAUUUCCAUUUGCAGAUGUAUUCUUGUCUGUCAGGGUGUGAUGUCUAGAACAGUGGUUACCUCUUAGUCUAAAAGGCUCAUUCUGGACCAAGAUGACUGCAUUCCAUUAGUUACAGGGAGUGGUUCCAAAGUCAGUAUUCAGACUAAAUCCAUUUAAUCAAAUAAUUUUAUGGAUUGAGUUACAGAGACAGGAACUAAGAUCUACCCUUUCCAAGGAUUUCCUUCAGUGAGAAGAAAAUAGUGUGGUGAUUCAAGAGGGUGUUAUGAUGUACACGGGAUAUAUGAAGGCAUUCUGAUAUACACAGAAAGAAAGGUCAUGAUUGCAAUGGACAGAAGGAAACCCAAUCCAUUGGACACAGAGCCUGACCUGAACCUACCAACAUUAUUUAACAUCAGUAUUGAGUGUCACUUGAAAGAAUUAAAUAUUUGGUGCUAAAAGAACCAGUAAAUAGCAGCUUUGUUCAUCAGC
rnacentral:lncRNA from 1 species